GCAGUUUAGCUAGUUGCCAAGGAUUUGUUGUUAUAAAAGUCAUAAAGGUAAAAAGCAGUCAAUGUUUAUGAUUGGCGAUGCUUACGCCUAGCUGGAGGACCUUGCUCACUGGAGGAACUUGCUCACUUUUGUGAGGGAUGACCAGUGUGGCAUUCUUCUGUUGGUAGUGAAACAAAAUAGAGGGUACACGUUGUUACACACUGUCAGUUUCCAUCAAACAUUUUCUUGUCGCGAAUCGUACACUUUAGUUACCGCUCAACUUUGUAUAUACUCGAAGUUGUAUUUCUUGAUGUAAUGUGUGCAUAGCAUGUAUGCGUAUGCGUAUACCCUAUUUCCUACUACCAUUGACUAAUAUUCGUGUUUAAUUUUUCUUUUUGUAGUAGCUAUUAUGACCUUGUAGUAUUAUGACCAAACUGACAAUUCAACUGCCAAGUUUCAGCAAUGCAUAACAGUGUUAUUCCGUUC